rnacentral:rRNA from 1 species
UCCGUAGGGGGCAAGCGUUGUCCGGAAUCAUUGGGCGUAAAGAGCGCGUAGGCGGCCCUGUAAGUCCGCUGUGAAAGUCAAGGGCUCAACCCUUGGAUGCCGGUGGAUACUGCAGGGCUAGAGUCCGGAAGAGGCGAGUGGAAUUCCUGGUGUAGCGGUGAAAUGCGCAGAUAUCAGGAAGAACACCCGUGGCGAAGGCGGCUCUCUGGGACGGUACUGACGCUGAGACGCGAAAGCGUGGGGAGCGAACAGG